CGAACUGUCACCCGUGGCCGAGGAGGCGUCUGGCGGUCUGUGAGGGCCGGUAUACCUCCCCGUUGCCCUCUCUCGCCAUUUUGGGGUGUUUUUCGCUCUGUCACCUCGUCUUCUCAUCGCUAGCGGGCUCAGACGGGCAUCGGGGCGGAGGUCGCGGCUCUUCACACGCCGAGCGCCGCCUGAGGAGUGCUCUGUGUGUUGGGAGCCUCCCGAGGGCCCACGCCCGCCAUUUUCUCUCCCUCAGGAUGCUCCUGUGUUGGCGAGCGCUGCGGUUCCCCUCAUCUUCCCCGCUGCGACUGCCUCACGCCAACACACCUAAGAGCUUGGGGCUGGGUAAUUUUCUAACUUAAAGGGAAAAUAACACAAAUUAAGCUGUUCCCGCUUAGGCGGCCGUUCAGGGCAAAGCCCUCGCCGCUCUGCCCACCAGCCCCAGGGGAAGGAGCAGAGCUGGACUCGCUGCUGGAGAAGGUCCCCCGUAGCUUUAUUUGCUGCAGGACCCACUGAAAUCAUCCUCAGCUUUAACAACACGACAGGCUACUUGAAAUGCAAAAGAUCUGUGUAAAUAUACCCUCUGGUUGCAGGUGCUGUGGAAAAAGAAGAAACUAUAAGGGAGGGGGAGCUGAAUUGUAAAGGUUAAGAAACUUCUCAGGUUCACAAAGCAAGCAGUGGCACGAUGAGGAAUAAACCCACGGUCUGGUAUCCUGUUCCAGCCACUAGACCUUGUGUUCCUCCACACUCAUGCAAGUUACAGUAAAUGCAUUAUGAGUAAACUGCGAGCAGGUGAAGGAGGUGUCAUUUACAGAAGAAGAAAAAGGAAAAUCACUAAAGGGAAUCAUGUGAAGGCAAGCCUGGAAGAAUGUGAGGUGGUGAGAGCAGCCUGGGCUCACUGCCAGGGAACCAUGCGGCCUGGGUGGGGAAACAACCUGACAGGUGGAUGAGGACAACCAAUAGGCUGCACCAGAAAGCAAAGCUCGCCUUUUAAGGAAGAAAAGAGCGAGGGCUGGCAUGGGAGGAGCGAGGGAGUGGCUAUGUUAAAUUGAAGGAUCUUCAAAGGUCUUGUCCCUCCUAUCCAGGUGUGCUCGAACUGGGUCACAAGUUCGAUGCACCCAGUACACUGUUAAAUAAAGUUCCUUGUUUCACUUUA